rnacentral:tRNA from 1 species
UGGGAUGUAGCUCAGUGAUUGAGUGCUUAUCUAGCAUCUAGGAUGCCCUGGGUCCAAUCCCUAGCCUUUCAA